rnacentral:rRNA from 1 species
ACGUACGCUGGCGGCACGCCUAACACAUGCAAGUCGAACGAAGUAGCAAUACUUAGUGGCAGACGGGUGAGUAACAUGUAGGUAUCUGCCCUUUGGCCUGGAAUAACACGAGGAAACUUGUGCUAAUACCGGAUAAGUCUUUACGGAGAAAGCUUUAUGCACCAUUGGAUGAGCCUGCACUUGAUUAGUUUGUUGGUGGGGUAAUGGCCUACCAAGACUGUGAUCAAUAGCUGAUUUGAGAGGAUGAUCAGCCACAUUGGGACUGAGACACGGCCCAAACUCCUACGGGAGGCAGCAGUGGGGAAUCUUGCACAAUGGAGGAAACUCUGAUGCAGCGAUGCCGCGUGAGUGAAGAAGGCCCUUGGGUUGUAAAGCUCUUUCGUCGGGGAAGAAAAUGACUGUACCCGAAUAAGAAGGUCCGGCUAACUUCGUGCCAGCAGCCGCGGUAAUACGAAGGGACCUAGCGUAGUUCGGAGUUACUGGGCUUAAAGAGUUCGUAGGUGGUUGAAAAAGUUAGUGGUGAAAUCCCAGAGCUUAACUCUGGAACUGCCAUUAAAACUUUUCAGCUAGAGUAUGAUAGAGGAAAGCAGAAUUUCUAGUGUAGAGGUGAAAUUCGUAGAUAUUAGAAAGAAUACCAAUUGCGAAGGCAGCUUUCUGGAUCAUUACUGACACUGAGGAACGAAAGCAUGGGUAGCGAAGAGGAUUAGAUACCCUCGUAGUCCAUGCCGUAAACGAUGUGUGUUAGACGUUGGAAAUUUAUUUUCAGUGUCGCAGCGAAAGCGAUAAACACACCGCCUGGGGAGUACGACCGCAAGGUUAAAACUCAAAUGAAUUGACGGGGACCCGCACAAGUAGUGGAGCAUGUGGUUUAAUUCGAAGAUACGCGCAGAACCUUACCAACACUUGACAUGUUCGUCGCGACUUUAAGAGAUUAAAGUUUUCGGUUCGGCCGGACGAAACACAGGUGCUGCAUGGCUGUCGUCAGCUCGUGUCGUGAGAUGUUGGGUUAAGUCCCGCAACGAGCGCAACCCUCACUUUUAGUUGCCAUCAUUAAGUUGGGCACUCUGAAAGAACUGCCAGUGAUAAGCUGGAGGAAGGUGGGGAUGACGUCAAGUCCUCAUGGCCCUUACGUGUUGGGCUACACACGUGCUACAAUGGUAUCUACAACAGGAAGCAAAACGGCGACGUUAAGCAAAUCCUUAAAAGAUACCUCAGUUCGGAUUGCACUCUGCAACUCGAGUGCAUGAAGCUGGAAUUACUAGUAAUCGUGGAUCAGCGUGCCACGGUGAAUGCGUUCCCGGGUCUUGUACACACCGCCCGUCACACCAUGGGAGUUGGUUCUACCUUAAGGCAAGGUUUCAAACCCUUGACCACGGUAUAGUCAGCGACUGGGGUGA